rnacentral:tRNA from 1 species
GCCCAGGUGGUGGAACGGCAGACACACCAGCUUGAGGGGCUGGCGCCGCGAGGCAUGCAGGUUCAAAUCCUGUCCUGGGCA